AGAGUUUGAUCAUGGCUCAGAUUGAACGCUGGCGGCAGGCCUAACACAUGCAAGUCGAACGGUAACAGGAAGCAGCUUGCUGCUUCGCUGACGAGUGGCGGACGGGUGAGUAAUGUCUGGGAAACUGCCUGAUGGAGGGGGAUAACUACUGGAAACGGUAGCUAAUACCGCAUAAUGUCGCAAGACCAAAGAGGGGGACCUUCGGGCCUCUUGCCAUCGGAUGUGCCCAGAUGGGAUUAGCUAGUAGGUGGGGUAACGGCUCACCUAGGCGACGAUCCCUAGCUGGUCUGAGAGGAUGACCAGCCACACUGGAACUGAGACACGGUCCAGACUCCUACGGGAGGCAGCAGUGGGGAAUAUUGCACAAUGGGCGCAAGCCUGAUGCAGCCAUGCCGCGUGUAUGAAGAAGGCCUUCGGGUUGUAAAGUACUUUCAGCGGGGAGGAAGGCGAUAAGGUUAAUAACCUUGGCGAUUGACGUUACCCGCAGAAGAAGCACCGGCUAACUCCGUGCCAGCAGCCGCGGUAAUACGGAGGGUGCAAGCGUUAAUCGGAAUUACUGGGCGUAAAGCGCACGCAGGCGGUCUGUCAAGUCGGAUGUGAAAUCCCCGGGCUCAACCUGGGAACUGCAUUCGAAACUGGCAGGCUAGAGUCUUGUAGAGGGGGGUAGAAUUCCAGGUGUAGCGGUGAAAUGCGUAGAGAUCUGGAGGAAUACCGGUGGCGAAGGCGGCCCCCUGGACAAAGACUGACGCUCAGGUGCGAAAGCGUGGGGAGCAAACAGGAUUAGAUCCCCUGGUAGUCCACGCCGUAAACGAUGUCGACUUGGAG
rnacentral:rRNA from 1 species